rnacentral:rRNA from 1 species
GAUGAACGCUGGCGGCGUGCCUAAUACAUGCGAGUCGAGCGAACAGAUGAGGAGCUUGCUCCUCUGACGUUAGCGGCGGACGGGUGAGUAACACGUGGAUAACCUACCUAUAAGACUGGGAUAACUUCGGGAAACCGGAGCUAAUACCGGAUAAUAUAUUGAACCGCAUGGUUCAAUAGUGAAAGACGGUUUUGCUGUCACUUAUAGAUGGAUCCGCGCCGCAUUAGCUAGUUGGUAAGGUAACGGCUUACCAAGGCAACGAUGCGUAGCCGACCUGAGAGGGUGAUCGGCCACACUGGAACUGAGACACGGUCCAGACUCCUACGGGAGGCAGCAGUAGGGAAUCUUCCGCAAUGGGCGAAAGCCUGACGGAGCAACGCCGCGUGAGUGAUGAAGGUCUUCGGAUCGUAAAACUCUGUUAUUAGGGAAGAACAAAUGUGUAAGUAACGAUGCACGUCUGGACGGUACCUAAGCAGAAAGCCACGGCUAACUACGG